rnacentral:tRNA from 1 species
AAGUUUGAAGUAAAGUUUACACUCAGUUUCGACCUGAAUUUUGGCUAUAGCCCUAACUUA